rnacentral:rRNA from 1 species
GUCCACGCCGUAAACGUUGGGCGCUAGGUGUGGGUUCCCUUCCACGGGAUCCGUGCCGCAGCUAACGCAUUAAGCGCCCCGCCUGGGGAGUACGGCCGCAAGGCUAAAACUCAAAGGAAUUGACGGGGGCCCGCACAAGCGGCGGAGCAUGUGGCUUAAUUCGAGGCAACGCGAAGAACCUUACCUGGGUUUGACAUGCAGGGAAAUCUCCCAGAGAUGGGAGGUCCGCAAGGGCCUUGCACAGGUGGUGCAUGGCUGUCGU